AACCAACCUAAUUAUUAUGAUUACCCUAAAUCUAGAAUCUAAUUGGACUUAAUUAACUAAAUUACCAUAGAAGACCAGUAGGGUGUAUGCCUGGACUUGUGGUUCAAACACCAGCAAUACACCAUUUGGGCCUGUUCUCAAUCUGUUAGCCUUGGGAUGUGCGAUGUUAGUUAAGGUUACAUAUCAUUGAGUUGGAGAAAAACUCUGGAUGAGAAGACAUUAACCGAGGGUUUGCAGAUCCGGUUCCAGAGAAAUGAAGGUUGGUGUAUUAUGAAUUUUGACUCGAUGUGCUGUUGAACGGAUUCACAAGGUUCUGAUUGGAGUCUUCACUUGGUAUGCUGAAAUUGGAGGGUUUACUACGGAAUUCCAAUGUAUAAGUUUUGAUGUUGGUUGUAUUGGUUUAUUCUUGGCCUGUUAUGGUGUGAGAAUUGCUGGCGGUGAGUUAGGAUUUGAAGAUAGUUAGGGUCUUAUUAUGAUUAGUUAUAGAUGAAAUAGUGAGUGAAAUGUUAACUCAAGUUCUGUUUUGAAAUGAAAUUACAAUGUAAAUCCAGUUAUUUUAGAAAUCCAAUGUUUAGUUGAAUCGACAAUGAGAUGUAACCGAAAUGCAAAAUUGUGAAAUUUUUCUCCUGGUUUUAUAAUGAAUGUAGUUAU